UACGUAGGGUGCAAGCGUUGUCCGGAAUUAUUGGGCGUAAAGAGCUCGUAGGCGGUUUGUCGCGUCGGCUGUGAAAUCCCGAGGCUCAACCUCGGGCCUGCAGUCGAUACGGGCAAACUAGAGUGUGGUAGGGGAGACUGGAAUUCCUGGUGUAGGCGGUGAAAUGCGCAGAUAUCAGGAGGAACACCGGCGGCGAAGGCGGGUCUCUGGGCCAUAACUGACGCUGAGGAGCGAAAGCGUGGGGAGCGAACAGG
rnacentral:rRNA from 1 species